rnacentral:lncRNA from 1 species
CUUUAAAAAAUUCUAAAGAAAUAUUAAAUAAAUUCCAAAGAAAUCUUUAAAAAAUCCACAAGAAUCUUAAAGAAAUAUUUAAAAAAUCCUAAAUUUUAAACCAAUCCUAAGUAGACCAUAAAUCCUAAAAUCAAUCCUAAUCAAAUUCUAAAAUCUAAAUCAUAUCCUAAUUAAAUCUUAAAGCGUAAACCAAAUCCUA